rnacentral:rRNA from 1 species
CGGUUAAAGAGCGGCGGACGGGUGAGUAACGCGUGGGUAACCUGCCUCAUACAGGGGGAUAACAGUUGGAAACGGCUGCUAAUACCGCAUAAGCGCACAGUACCGCAUGGUACGGUGUGAAAAACUCCGGUGGUAUGAGAUGGACCCGCGUCUGAUUAGGUAGUUGGUGGGGUAACGGCCUACCAAGCCGACGAUCAGUAGCCGACCUGAGAGGGUGACCGGCCACAUUGGGACUGAGACACGGCCCAA